CAGUCAGUGUCGAGAACCUUAUAUUGUUCUGAAGAGAGGUGGUGACUUAAAAAUCAUGCUCAAUAGGAUUACGCUGAGGCCC
ensembl:snoRNA SNORD115-24 small nucleolar RNA, C/D box 115-24